rnacentral:rRNA from 1 species
UACAGCCAUAACACCCUGAACGCUCUAAAUCUUAUCUGAUCUCGGAAGCUAAGCAGGGUCAGCCCGGUAGUACUUGGAUGGGAGAAAAUAAUUUCCAUUCAUUUUGUGUUUUGUAUUCAGAAUUGGCUGCAA